rnacentral:rRNA from 1 species
UAGGGAAUCUUCCGCAAUGGGCGAAAGCCUGACGGAGCAACGCCGCGUGAGUGAUGAAGGUCUUCGGAUCGUAAAACUCUGUUAUUAGGGAAGAACAAAUGUGUAAGUAACUAUGCACGUCUUGACGGUACCUAAUCAGAAAGCCACGGCUAACUACGUGCCAGCAGCCGCGGUAAUACGUAGGUGGCAAGCGUUAUCCGGAAUUAUUGGGCGUAAAGCGCGCGUAGGCGGUUUUUUAAGUCUGAUGUGAAAGCCCACGGCUCAACCGUGGAGGGUCAUUGGAAACUGGAAAGCUUGAGUGCAGAAGAGGAAAGUGGAAUUCCAGGUGUGGCGGUGAAAUGCGCAGAGAUAUGGAGGAACACCAGUGGCGAAGGCGACUUUCUGGUCUGUAACUGACGCUGAUGUGCGAAAGCGUGGGGAUCAAACAGG